GCCAUCGUAGUGCAAUGGUCAGCACACUCGAUGCUCAUUCGAGAGAUCCAGGUUCGAGUCCUGGCUACGGCA